rnacentral:snRNA from 1 species
GUGCUCACUUCAGCAGCACAUAUACUAAAAUUGAAAUAAUACAGAGAAGGUUAGCAUGGUCCCUGUACAAGGAU